AGAGUUUGAUCAUGGCUCAGAACGAACGCUGGCGGAAUGCUUUACACAUGCAAGUCGAACGAGUACUUUUUACGAGUGGCGAACGGGUGAGUAACGCGUGGGAACCUACCUUGAGGUAAAGAAUAACUACAGGAAACUGUAGCUAAUACUUUAUAUGCCCUACGGGGGAAAGAUUUAUCGCCUUUUGAGGGGCCCGCGUCAGAUUAGCUUGUUGGUAAGGUAAUGGCUUACCAAGGCAUUGAUCUGUAGCUGGUUUGAGAGGAUGAUCAGCCACAUUGGGACUGAGACACGGCCCAGACUCCUACGGGAGGCAGCAGUGGGGAAUCUUGGACAAUGGGGGAAACCCUGAUCCAGCAAUUCCGCGUGAAUGAUGAAGGCCUUAGGGUUGUAAAAUUCUUUUAGUAAGGAAGAUGAUGACGGUACUUACAGAAAAAGCUCCGGCUAACUCCGUGCCAGCAGCCGCGGUAAUACGGAGGGGGCAAGCGUUGUUCGGAAUUACUGGGCGUAAAGAGCGAGCAGGUGGUUCAUUAAGUCAAUUGUGAAAGCUCAAGGCUUAACCUUGAAAUUGCUUUUGAUACUGAUGAACUAGAGUUUGGGAGAGGAUAGUGGAAUUCUAAGUGUAGAAGUGAAAUUCGUAGAUAUUUAGAGGAACACCGAUAGCGAAGGCAACUAUCUGGCCCUUUACUGACACUCAGAAGCGAAAGCUUGGGUAGCAAACAGGAUUAGAUACCCUGGUAGUCCAUGCUGUAAACGAUGAGUGCUAGAUGUUAGAAGUUUACUUCUAGUAUCGAAGCUAACGCGUUAAGCACUCCGCCUGGGGAGUACGGCCGCAAGGCUAAAAC
rnacentral:rRNA from 1 species